rnacentral:lncRNA from 1 species
UUUUUAUUGAAUAUUGAAGAGAACUAUAAUUGUUUCUGGAUUUUGACUUUCCUCUCCUUAGAAUCUGGUGGAGGCUGAGAUGGUUGGAUGGCAUCACCAACUCAAUGGACAUGAGUUUGAGUAAACUCCAGGAGAUAGGGAAGGACAGGGAAGCCUGGAGUGCUGCAGUCCGUGGGUGGCAAAGAACUGGACAUCCCUGAACAACAAUUGUGACUGAACAACAAGGCGUUGAAUUCACAGAGGAAGGGCCCACCACGACCUUCACCCCCAGCCCCGUAACGGACGGGGCCGGAGGCUGUGCCUUCCACGGUGCCCUUGGCCAAGGCCGGGUGACAGUUCCACAGCUUGUCCAUCUUUAUUUAAUACAAGAGAAUGACCUUGAUUAAGACAAUUUAGCUAGUAAUUGUAAAAAAUAAAUGACUAAUGGCAAAAUCUGAUGUCCCUUGAGGAACUAGUGAUAAUGUGAAGAUCUUUUUACUUGCAAACAGGGCAGCAUUUUGGGUAACAUUGUAAAAGCUGGUAUUUUUGUGCAAGGUGAGCAAUCCAGGAGGAAGCUUAUUAUAAGGAAAUAGCUGCCUGAAUUUUGUUUUUUCCUUGACUUUACAGGUCUGACCCUGGUGGCUCAGCGAUAAAGAAUCCAUCUGCCAAUUCAGGAGACUUGGGUUUGAUCCCUGGAUCAGGUGGAUUCCCCUGGAGAAGUUCUGUGGGCAUUGUUUUCUUUAUCUGAAAUAUGGGAUCUGAUGAUUCAAACCUUGUUCCUGCCUUAUCUUUGUAAGAAGAGACCAGCCCUUUCCAGAGCAAGAAAAUGGCUUUUAGGCUGGAAUAAGAUUGGAAGGCAUCAACCACCAACAUCCAUCUGUAUUUUGUGUGCUCUCUGUAGCUGAGGUGUGUGGUUACCAUCUAAGGCUUCGUUUAGAUGGUUAUUUAAGCUGCUACGAUUUUUGGACCAAUGUUGGCUUCCCUGACGUCCAUCCAGUGGGGUGGUGUGAGAAAACCAAACAUGACUUAUACAUCCCUCAGGGUAAGUAGGAGGGAAAGGCAGUCAGCUUUAUCUUAACAAUGAUUUAUGAAAUACUAAUAAGAAAGCCUG